AUGAACGCUGGCGGCGUGCCUAAUCCAUGCAAGUCGAGCGAACAGAUGAGGAGCUUGCUCCUCUGACGUUAGCGGCGGACGGGUGAGUAACACGUGGAUAACCUACCUAUAAGACUGGGAUAACUUCGGGAAACCGGAGCUAAUACCGGAUAAUAUAUUGAACCGCAUGGUUCAAUAGUGAAAGACGGUUUUGCUGUCACUUAUCGAUGGAUCCGCGCCGCAUUAGCUAGUUGGUAAGGUAACGGCUUACCAAGGCAACGAUGCGUAGCCGACCUGAGAGGGUGAUCGGCCACACUGGAACUGAGACACGGUCCAGACUCCUACGGGAGGCAGCAGUAGGGAAUCUUCCGCAAUGGGCGAAAGCCUGACGGAGCAACGCCGCGUGAGUGAUGAAGGUCUUCGGAUCGUAAAACUCUGUUAUUAGGGAAGAACAAAUGUGUAAGUAACUAUGCACGUCUUGACGGUACCUAAUCAGAAAGCCACGGCUAACUACGUG
rnacentral:rRNA from 1 species